rnacentral:rRNA from 1 species
AUGAACGCUAGCGGAACGCCUAACACAUGCAAGUCGAACGAGUUUUUUUUUGUAGCAAUACAGGAUAAAAUUAGUGGCAAACGAGCGAGUAACGCGUACUUAAUCUGCCCAAAAGUUGAGAACAACUAUAGAGAUAUAGCUAAUUCUCAAUAUGCUCACGAUGGUGAAAUCCCAAUGUGAGGAAAGAUUUAUCGCUUUUGGAGGAGGGUGCGUCCUAUCAGGUUGUUGGUGAGGUAAUAGCUCACCAAGCCUAUGACGGGUAGUCGGUCUGAGAUGAUGUCCGGCCGCGAUGGAACUGAGACACGGUCCAUACUCCUACGGGAGGCAGCAGUGGGGAAUCUUGCACAAUGGACGAAAGUCUGAUGCAGCGAUUCCGCGUGGAGGAUGACGCAUUACGGUGUGUAAACUCCUUUUUUGGUGGAAGACGAAUGACGGUACACCAAGAAUAAGGGACGGCUAACUACGU